GACGAACGCUGGCGGCGUGCUUAACACAUGCAAGUCGAACGGAAAGGCCCUGCUUUUGUGGGGUGCUCGAGUGGCGAACGGGUGAGUAACACGUGAGUAACCUGCCCUUGACUUUGGGAUAACUUCAGGAAACUGGGGCUAAUACCGGAUAGGAGCUCCUGCUGCAUGGUGGGGGUUGGAAAGUUUCGGCGGUUGGGGAUGGACUCGCGGCUUAUCAGCUUGUUUGUGGGGUAGUGGCUUACCAAGGCUUUGACGGCUAGCCGGCCUGAGAGGGUGACCGGCCACAUUGGGACUGAGAGACGGCGCAGACUCCUACGGGAGGCAGCAGUGGGGAAUAUUGCACAAUGGGCGGAAGCCUGAUGCAGCAACGCCGCGUGCGGGAUGACGGCCUUCGGGUUGUAAACCGCUUUCGCCUGUGACGAAGCGUGAGUGACGGUAAUGGGUAAAGAAGCACCGGCUAACUACGUG
rnacentral:rRNA from 1 species